rnacentral:misc_RNA from 1 species
AAGUCGUAACAAGGUAUCCGUAGGUGAACCUGCGGAUGGAUCAUUAUCAAAUCUAAAUAUAACGUUAUCCCAAAAUAACGUUUAUAUAAACCAAUCUGUGAACUGUUCUCUGCCUUUGAGAAAUGGGAGUAAUUGGUUGAUAAACUGAGUUUUUUAUUUAAUAGUGAAACUCUAAGCUUCAAUCGUUCUAUGAGAUUCGUUUCAUAGGAGCUCUUAUUUUUCAAAGUGUAUAUCACUAUUAAAACAUUAACCAAUUUAACCAAAACUAUUAUUUAUUUCUAUGUGUGAACUGAAUUGUUUUCUUACUCUCCGUAACACGAGAGAAGAGAUCUAUUCUACGAAACAUACAGAACAACUCUUAGCAACGGAUAUCUUGGUUCUCGUAACGAUGAAAAACGCAGC